GCGCCCGUAGCUCAAUGGUAGAGCAGUGGCCUUUUAAGCCAUUGGUUGAAGGUCCGAGUCCUUCCGGGCGCA
rnacentral:tRNA from 1 species